GAUGAACGCUGGCGGCGUGCCUAAUACAUGCAAGUCGAGCGAACAGACGAGGAGCUUGCUCCUCUGACGUUAGCGGCGGACGGGUGAGUAACACGUGGAUAACCUACCUAUAAGACUGGGAUAACUUCGGGAAACCGGAGCUAAUACCGGAUAAUAUAUUGAACCGCAUGGUUCAAUAGUGAAAGACGGUUUUGCUGUCACUUAUAGAUGGAUCCGCGCCGCAUUAGCUAGUUGGUAAGGUAACGGCCUACCAAGGCAACGAUGCGUAGCCGACCUGAGAGGGUGGUCGGCCACACUGGAACUGAGACACGGUCCAGACUCCUACGGGAGGCAGCAGUAGGGAAUCUGCCGCAAUGGGCGAAAACCUGACGGAGCAACGCCGCGUGAGUGAUGAAGGUCUUCGGAUCGUAAAACUCUGUUAUUAGGGAAGAACAAAUGUGUAAGUAACUAUGCACGUCUUGACGGUACCUAAUCAGAAAGCCACGGCUAACUACGUG
rnacentral:rRNA from 1 species